GCAAUUGCACAAUGACCAAUAUACUACCAUUGAGAAUCUCAGAGUUCUUUAUAGUUCUUUAUGUUAUUCAUCACAGCAUAUUAUACAAUUUCAUUCCCCUUUUCCAUAUAAAGAAAAUAGACAUAUAGACAUUGGAUUAUUUCUCUGCUGUAACAUUUCUACUGCUUUGGAUGGUAUUUUAAGAAUAUUCAGUAUUGAUUAACUUCAUCCUUCUGUUUUGGACACUAGCAUAGGCUGUAAUUAGGAAUCUUUCCACUCUUGUUCUUUUUUUUCCCUGUAGAGUGGAAUGGGGAAACAGGCUACAGAUGUCAAACAUCUUCUUGAAGUGGUCUAUCUACAUUGGCUGACAGUAGGGAAAAUGAAUGCUAUCAUAAGACUGGAGGAGGUGAAAGAGGGGCUUUUGGAUAUCCAUUAUUCAAUAUUGGAAUUUUCAGGGAGCAGAUUCCAGUGGAUUAAGAAAAAAUUAGAUGGUAUCCCAUUAACUAAAAUUCUGCAAAAGAAGUUAUACCAGGAAUCAUUGGAAACCAUUAAAGAAUGAGGCACAAAGAAAAACAGUUUUAAUGACUAGAAAAAGGAAGAAUUGUCUGAAAUGAUAAAUAUGAUAGUAUACCUG
rnacentral:lncRNA from 1 species